rnacentral:rRNA from 1 species
UACGUAGGGUCCGAGCGUUGUCCGGAAUUACUGGGCGUAAAGAGCUCGUAGGUGGUUUGUCACGUUGUUCGUGAAAACUCACAGCUCAACUGUGGGCGUGCGGGCGAUACGGGCAGACUAGAGUACUGCAGGGGAGACUGGAAUUCCUGGUGUAGCGGUGGAAUGCGCAGAUAUCAGGAGGAACACCGGUGGCGAAGGCGGGUCUCUGGGCAGUAACUGACGCUGAGGAGCGAAAGCGUGGGGGAGCGAACAGG